rnacentral:rRNA from 1 species
UGCCAGCCGCCGCGGUAAUACUGAAGGUGCAAGCGUUAAUCGGAAUCACUGGGCGUAAAGCGCUCGUAGGUGGCUUUGUAAGUCAGAUGUGAAAGCCCACGGCUCAACCGUGGAAUUGCAUUUGAUACUGCAUCGCUAGAGUAUAGGAGAGGAAUGCGGAAUUCCAGGUGUAGCGGUGAAAUGCGUAGAUAUCAGGAGGAACACCAGUGGCGAAAGCGGCUCACUGGACCGUCUCUGACGCUGAGGUGCGAAAGCUAGGGGAGCGAACGGGAUUAGAUA